GGCUCAGAAGUUAAAGCAUCCGCCUGGAAUGCGGGAGACCUAGGUUCGAUCCCUGG
rfam:Ovis aries breed Texel chromosome 10, whole genome shotgun sequence.